GGACGAAGCUGAAAAGCAAAAUUACCUUGGGAGGUAAAUUCGAUAAGGCCCAGCGCGCAAUGGUUGUCAACAAGGGAACUGCUGAUCAGAUUGUGGAUGCUGAUCUCGGUCCGGAGUACACAGAACUGAUCCCCGUGGCUGACAUGAAGGGACUCACACCCGCCAAGAAAAAGAUGGCUGCGAUGGCGGCUGGCCCGGACUCGGCUCUGCGCAUGCUUAGUGCCGACGACCCAACGGAGACGCUCCCAAAGUCCAUCACUCCGGAAGUGG